rnacentral:rRNA from 1 species
UAGGGAAUCUUCCGCAAUGGGCGAAAGCCUGACGGAGCAACGCCGCGUGAGUGAUGAAGGUCUUCGGAUCGUAAAACUCUGUUAUUAGGGAAGAACAAAUGUGUAAGUAACUAUGCACGUCUUGACGGUACCUAAUCAGAAAGCCACGGCUAACUACGUGCCAGCAGCCGCGGUAAUACGUAGGUGGCAAGCGUUAUCCGGAAUCAUUGGGCGUAAAGCGCGCGUAGGCGGUUUUUUAAGUCUGAUGUGAAAGCCCACGGCUCAACCGUGGAGGGUCAUUGGAAACUGGGAAACUUGAGUGCAGAAGAGGAAAGUGGAAUUCCAUGUGUAGCGGUGAAAUGCGCAGAGAUAUGGGGAAACACCAGUGGCGAAGGCGACUUUCUGGUCUGUAACUGACGCUGAUGUGCGAAAGCGUGGGGAUCAAACAGG